rnacentral:lncRNA from 1 species
UUUUUUUUUUUUUUUUUUUUUUUUGUCUUUUUUGAGCUGCAUCCAAGGCUCAUAGAGGUUCCCAGGCUAGGCAUCAAAUAAGAGCUGCAACUGCCAGCCUAUACCACAGCCAUAUCAAAGCCAGAUCUGAGCUGUCUGCAAGCUACACCACAGCUCUGGGCAAUAUCAGAUCCUUAACCCACUGAGCAAGGCCAGAGAGUCCUCAUGCAUACUAGUAGGGUUCCUUACCACUGAGUCACAGUGGGAACUCCAGGAUCUCCAUUCUUGAGGGAAGGUUUCCCAUCCUCUGUGGACACUGUCAUCCAUAUAUUUCUCCAAAACACCUUGUCUUAAUCCAUUGAUCUUCUUUUAUAUGCUUUAAACUCCCUUAAGACAAAGAUUUUUCAGAAAACAAAAGCCAGAAAUAUCAGGUUAUUUCUUCUUUCUGUUCCUGCUACCAUCCCUUAAACUGUUCAAAACUUGACAAUUUCCCAAAACAGAGCAAAGGAGAGAAAAAAAUUUUAGUAUAAUAUGUAUAAUUUAAUAUAGGGUGUAUAUAGUAUCUAUGCAGUAGUAUGACAUAAGAGCCCCCAAAUAUAUACAAAUCCUAUUUCCCAGACUCUGCAAAUGUUACCUUAUAUGGAAAAAGGCACUUUGUAGACGUGAUUAGGUUAAGGAUCUUGAGUUCAGGACCUGUUUGUUAUACAGUGAUAGAUAACAAAAAUAGAAGUUAAGAUCUAAAAAGUUGGAUACUGCUAUAGGAAUAAUCUAAAUUGGGCAGUGGCUUUGACUGGCCCAUAAUAAUACUUUGGAGGGAACUUAUAGUGCAGGGAGAAGAGUGCUGUUGCGAGCUGGAAGGAUGUGUGUUAUAUAUUUUGGUGGAACAAUGACAAGACGGUCAGAAGCUAUAAAUUAGAUGUGAAGAAGUGCCUAAUACAGCUGUGGUCUGGAUAAGGUGAUUUUUAGGCAGAACAUUGAAAGUACAAUCUACAUUUUUAAAGUUGUCUUGGGUGAAGUACUUCAACAGAGAGAUGUACGAAGGAAGGGAGUGCUCAACUUUGGGGCAGAAUUUAGGGGAAUAAUUUACACACCAGGAUUUACCAAGUUGAAAGUCCUGGUUUUCAUUCCCAGGAUUUCCAGUUGGUAAAAGGUUUUCAAAGUUAAGAAAAGCCUCAGUGCAAAUAAGUAUGGAGUAAUAACAGUUAAAGUGUGACUUUAGGUAAUAAUGAAGUUGAGGGUACAGCUCUAAGACCCCUUUUUGAGACUCGAGAAAUAUUUAAGAUGAUUCUUUAUAGAUCUCUCAGCUAUAAAAAAGACUUGUAACAAUCUUAAGUGUAUGUCUCUAAUACUCUGUAGGCUAGACAAAAGGGCUCUUAAGACUCAGGGAAUCAUUCUCUAGCAUUCAAGUUAGACAGGGUCUUGUUUCUAAGAGAUUUACUAGUUUGGCUUUUGUCUAAUGGACUGGAUUAUAAUUUGAUAAUCUGGUCACCCAUGAAUCUUUUAAAGGAAUUAUAUGAGCUUGGACUCAAAGACAUAGAGACAUUAAAAAAAAAAAAAAAAAAAAGGAUCUCUGAGCACUCUGCCUUCUAAAAUAGGUCAGAAAUACUGGCCUAUAGAAAUAUAGAGAAAACUAUUCACAUGCCAACACUGACCAUUCUUAUAGAAAAUGAACGGUGUCUCAGAAGGUAGAACCAGUACCCCAGAGGGUGGAACAAAUAGCUGCAGAAAACCACUCCCAGAGAGCAGAACUUAGUCCUAAAGAACAUACUUCCUCUGUUCCCAGAAAAAAUGAAAAGGUCUAGAUCUCGGAAUUAUUCUGGAUCUGUGACUGCCGUGUGCCUCUUAACACCUCAGACCUCAUUUUUGAAUAAGCCAGGAUGUCCCUGUCUCACCCUGAACAUACAACACAGAUGAUAGAUAGCUUUAGUUCAUAGGUCUUCAUUAAGGAAGAGUUGCAUCUCAAAAUUCUCAUCUAUUACUUGAACCUGAUUUCAGUGAUGAGCUUCUGGAUUCCAAGCCAUAAUGCCAUUAAGGGAUGAAGCUUUAGGGGUCUUACAGGAGAGGGAAGAAAGUAUAUUUUACAAGUGGUAAAGACAUGAUUAAUCACUGGGAACCAGAGCAUGAGUUGUGACAGACUAUUACCUUUUUAAAAUUGAGAUAUAAUUGAUGUAACAUUACUUUCAUUUCAGAUGGGCAGCAUAAUGACUCAGUAUUGGUAUAUAUUGCGAAAUGAUCACCACAAUAAGUCUAGUUAACAUCCAUCACGACACAGAUACUUUUUUUGUGUGAUGAGAACUGGCAAGGUUUAUUCUCUCAGCAAGCUUCAAACAUACAAUACAGUAUUAUUAACUAUAGUCAUCAUGCUGUACAUUACACCCUCAGGUUUAUUUAUUUUAUAACUGGAAGUGUGUACCUUUUGACCACUAUUACCUAUUUCCCAGACUCCUGCCUUUGGCAACAGCUAAUCUGUUCUGUAUAUCUAAGAGUUCAGUUUUUGUUGUUGUUGUUGUUGGUUUGUUUUAGAUUUCACAUGUAAGUGAGAUCAUAUGGUCAUUGAAGUUCUCAUCCUGACUUUUUACUUAGCAUAAUGCCCUCAAGGUCCAACUAUGCUGUUGCAAAUAGCAGAAUUUCCUUAUUUUUUAUGGCUGAAUAAUAUUGCAUUGUGUUUAUAACACAUCUUCUAUAUUCAUUUUUCAAUGAAUCUUAGUUGUUUUCCUGUCUUGACUAUUGCAAAUAAUGCUGCAAAGAACAUGAGGGUGCAUAUAUUAUUAUGAGUUGGGUUUUUCUUUGCUUCCUUCGAAUAAAUAUGCAGAAAUGGAAUUGUUGGAUCAUUUUAAGUUUUUUGAGGAAACUCCAUACUUUUCUCCCUAACGUCUGCACAGUUUACUUUUCCAUCAACAAUGUACAAGACUUUCUUUUUCUCCACAUUCCCUGAUAUACAUUUUUAUGUACUCCUUAUCAAGAACUGUGAUAAAUAUGAGGCAAAUUAGUCUGCCACAGUUUCAUUGAUGUUGGUAGAUGUCAAAAGCCUCCUGGAUAAGAAAUAAAAGAUAUGUUAUUACUCUUAACAGUAGUAGUGACCAAAGAAUUAUUAUUUUUGUGCUAGUUGCACAUGUCCAGUUCUCACAAGUUGACAGAGAGCCAUAUUACACCUGCAAAUACGGCAGAUUGUGUUACAAGAGAAGACCUCUAAGCUAAUGGAACCCAAAUCUUUUAUCAUGGGCAGUAAACCUGUUUGCUUUUGCUCUGGAGAGAAACAUUAAUUUUAUUACACUGGGCUUUUGCUCAAAAGAAGACACUAUAACUGUCUUUCAAGGCUAUUCAUUAUAUAGGUGCCCUUAGAAAGACAGUUUAGAACAAAGGCAGUUAGUGCCUCUGUUAUAAGAAGUGCAGAAAGAAAUGCAAAACAUCCAUUGGGAAUUGUCUCUCAGAAAUUGCUUCCAGUUAUUAGCGGGGAUUUCUAUUUGUUUCAGAACUAGAUAUAUUACUUUUCAUUGUAAAAAUUUAAUGUCAGUUCAGUUCAAGGAUUCUCUCCUUCCCUUCUCCACUGCAGUUCUUGGAGUAGGUGGUGGGUUCUUGGUAAAAUAAAGCUCAACUUCUUCCUUUUCUAUGUACUUGCUCCCCUCAAGGGCAAGGUGGAGGAACAAGGGCCUUAGGUGUCAGUGAGAGAGAUGCCUCUGGCUCUGCUCUGGUAUUGAUUGUUCUUAUCUUCUAGUAUUUUCUAUUGAUGUGAUAUUUGAAGAUAUAUGGGCAUAUUUUUCUCACCUUGCCCCAGACUUCUGUCUUCUUCAAAGGAUAGGCCUGACACCCUUUGACAAGCCAAAGGUAUAAAAUCACCAAUUUUUCUCUAGUAUGGACAUCUAUUAACUUGACCUCUAUAACCUCUUGAGCAGCAGUGCAGCUCAUGCCCACCACUAACCUUCAUGCUCCUUUACAUGUAGCAUCAAGAACCCUUGCAUCCUUAAAAAACUCCAGAGAACUGGGUCAGGAACAAGGCUGCCCCAUCUUCUUCCCAGACACAUUUCAUCAUGGCCCUUUGAAGACCAUAAUGAUGUCAAGCUUUUCAGCUCUCUUCAAAUCCAUCAACUCAGAUCUAACAUCAAUCACAAGUUGUUUGCUUCAUUAAUACCUUUGUUCUUUGUUUUACUGUGGAAAAGGAUUACCUGUGACAUUCAUUAAAAUUCAGAUUUCCAAGUCCCCAGCAUAGAGGUUUUGUUUCAAGAGCUUGCAUAUUUAACAAGUUUUUCACAUGGUUCUGACACAUUGGUCCUGCUAUUUUCCUUCUCUUAUCAGAAUAAGUAGCAUUCUUCAAAACAGUGCAAAUACUGUGGAAACAAUGUAAUAUAUUGUACAGAGCACUGGCUUUACAGUAAGCCAUUCAGAUCCUGGUUUUAUUAGUUAUUAAAACUCUUUUCUUUUUGAAAGGAGAUAGGUUCUGGUGAUAUCUAAGAGAAAUUAAUUGGUGCACAUGCUUUAAAUAUGAAGAGUGCCGGGAGUUCCCGUCGUGGCGCAGUGGUUAACGAAUCCGACUAGGAACCAUGAGGUUGCGGGUUUGGUCCCUGCCCUUGCUCAGUGGGUUAACGAUCCGGCCUUGCCGUGAGCUGUGGUGUAGGUUGCAGACGCGGCUCGGAUCCCGCGUUGCUGUGGCUCUGGCGUAGGCUGGUGGCUACAGCUCUGAUUCAACCCCUAGCCUGGGAACCUCCAUAUGCCGCGGGAGCGGCCCAAGAAAUAGCAACAGCAACAACAACAACAACAACAAAAGACAAAAAGACAAAAGACAAAAAAAAAAAUAAAUAUGAAGAGUGCCUGGUUUUCUGUAAAGGGGGAGAUGGUAAAUAUUUUAGCAGACUACUCAGAGACUACUGAAAUCUGCUGCUGUGCCAUAGACAAGAAGUGAGCAAAUGAGAGGGGCUGUGUUCCAAUAAAACUUUAUUGACAAAA